rnacentral:misc_RNA from 1 species
GAAAUGCGAUAAGUAAUGUGAAUUACAGAAUUCAGUGAAUCAUCGAAUCUUUGAACGCACAUUGCGCCUAUUAGUAUUCUAGUAGGCAUGCCUGUUCGAGCGUCAUUUCAACCCUCAAGCCCUGGUUGCUUGGUGUUGGGAGCUUGCUGUGAAACGCAACUCCUCAAAGCUAGCUGGCAGAGUCGGGAUGCACUCUAAGCGUAGUAAACUAGAUAGUCUCGCUUCUGCAGUUGUCCCGGCCGUCUUGCCAUAAAAGCCCAAACUUUUUUUGUUUUCUAUGGUUGACCUCGGAUCAGGUAGGAAUACCCGCUGAACUUAAGC